rnacentral:rRNA from 1 species
CACGUAGGGUGCAAGCGUUGUCCGGAAUUAUUGGGCGUAAAGAGCUCGUAGGCGGUCUGUCGCGUCGGCUGUGAAAACCCGGGGCUCAACCCCGGGCCUGCAGUCGAUACGGGCAGACUAGAGUGCGGUAGGGGAGACUGGAAUUCCUGGUGUAGCGGUGAAAUGCGCAGAUAUCAGGAGGAACACCGGUGGCGAAGGCGGGUCUCUGGGCCGUAACCGACGCUGAGGAGCGAAAGCGUGGGGAGCGAACAGG